GGAAGUAAAAGUCGUAACAAGGUCUCCGUAGGUGAACCUGCGGAGGGAUCAUCACAGAGUUCAUGCCCUCACGGGUAGAUCUCCCACCCUGUGUUAUUAUACUUUGUUGCUUUGGCAGGCCGCCCGCGUGGGAUACCGGCUCCAGCUGGUAAGUGCCUGCCAGGGGACCCCAAACUCUGAAUAUUUUAUUGUCUGAGUACUAUAUAAUAGUUUAAAACUUUCAACAACGGAUGUCUUGGUUCUGACAUCGAUGAGAAAC
rnacentral:misc_RNA from 1 species